CUUUUUUCUUCAAGAUUUUUCAAAAUUUCAAAUUUUUUCCCAAAAUUUUUCCAUUUUUACAUUUAUUAUUUCUGAUUUAUAUAUAAAAGCAACAAAUACAGAUAUGGCAGGAGAUACACACCAAACAGGGUGUAGAAAUUAUUAUAUAUAACAGAUUAACUAAGUAUUGUGCAAUAGCAAUAGCAAGAAAUCUGCAAUUGAAAAUAAAUACAAAUCUUUUAACCAAUUUCAAUGGGAUUAAUUUAAAGUCUUAAAUUUUUGGGGGUUCUAACCUUGUAUUACUAUUUUGGAUAUUGGGCCCCAUUUUUAAAUUGGUCUACAUUGAGGUCCAAAGGGUCCAAAGUUAAAUUUGUUUGAUUUCAUCAAAAACUGAAUUAUUGCGGCUCUAUGAUAUGCUGAACCUUAUUGUGCAUUUAGAUUUUUAUUUUGGGCCCUGUUUUCAAAUUAGUCCAUAUUAAGGUUUGAAGGGUCCAAAAUGAAACUUUGUUUGAUUUCAACUAAAAUUAAAUUUUUGUUUUUUUUUUUAUAUGCUGAAUCUAACCAUGUUGUUAAAUUUAGACCAUACUAGGUAAAUUAAAUGUCCCAUUUCAAAUUUUUAAGAUCUUUGACCACAUUAAUUUUGUGUCAGAAACCUAUAUUAUAACAAAAAUGUGAUCACAAUCCAAAUUCAGACAGUAUCAAGCUUGAAUAUUGUGUCCAAACUUGCCCCAACUGUUCAGGGUUCGACCUCUGCGGUCGUAUCAGGCUGCGCUUGGCGAAGCAUUUUAUUUUUUGUGUGUUAAAUAAGUUUGUGUUCUAUCAUAUUGUUAGGAUAUUUACUUUAGAGAGAAUUUUUUCACAAUUUAAGGAAGAUUGCUGAAAUAUAGAUUAGAGAUGUUUUUUGCUUUUAUUCUAAUCUUUGGUAUUUUUUUACUAAAGUUUUUGUAUGUUUUUCUAAUAAAACAUGUAUCACUG